UUUCAGUUCAAAGCACUAGACGUGAAGUCGCGUGCAUACAACCUCACUCUUUCCUCUGCACUUCAGAGCAACAACAAAAAAAACACCGAUCAAAAUCAGCUAUUCAGAGUGAAAGAGAUGAGCUGCAGCGACUUCACAGUUCCGCCGGGAUACCGAUUCCAUCCCACCGACGAGAAGCUGCUUAGUGACUUGGAGAAGAAGAAUCAGUGCAAGGACUCCGAGAUCACCACCAUCAUCCCUGAAAUCGAUGUGUGCAAGCACGAGCCUCGCGAGUUACCAGAACUGGCAUUCACAAGGGCGCAAAAUCUGGGCAGGAAGUUUUUCUCUUUUUUCUUCUUCUGGUUUGCAUGGGCAGAGUCUUGGGACAGUCAGGGCAAGUGGUACUUCUUCACUCCGCGUGAAUACAAGUACCCUAACAGCAAACGCUCCAACAGGACUACAGGGGAAGGGUUCUGGAAGAUCACAGGCAAGGACCGCGACAUCAAGGCCCCUGGCUCCAAAGCUGUGAUUGGGAGAAAGAGGACCUUAACCUUCUACAAACGUGGAGUGCCGAAACCCCAGAAGACUGGCUGGGUCAUUCAUGAGUUUUAUCUCAUUGAGGCACAUUCUAAUCCUCCUAAGCAGAUAGGGGACUUUGUUGUCUGUUGCUUGAAGUAUAAGUCAGACAACUCUGAUCAUGAUAAGGAUGCCCCAUUCUUCGAUCGAGGUAGUACUAGCUGCAGUAUGGCCUCCAAUGUUGAAAAUCAAGCUGAAGAAAAUUGGGCAUUAAUUGAGCAGGUUAAUGUUGUUCCAAUUCAUAAUGGAAACGAUGAUGAAGCUGAAACUGGUGGUGGUAUGAUUACACAAGAAGAGGAAUACCUGGCUUUAAAGGAACUGCAAGAUGCUCUUCAGAUUCCCAUUGGCAAUCCUCAUGAAUUCCAAGGCACGCAAAAUGAUCCUUGUCGUAUAGAUAAGAAUGAUCUUAUUUCCUCUGUUGAAGGCCGACCUGAUAAAAGCAAUUCAUCUGAUGUGAUUGAAGAGCCACUAGAUAACCCAGAAAAUCUGGAUUCACUAAUUGAUCUGCCUGCGCUGCCUCAACUGCAUCAGCUACAUCAGUCACCAAUGUAUACGACCAAUGACCAUAAUGAUGUAUGUCGUAAGAGGACAUAUCCAUUUGAGGAUAAUGACCCUUCACUUACGAAGAAGAAUAGUAUUUCAACCAAUGAUGACGACGAAUUAGUUAGCAACACCGUAUCUAGUUCAGAAAAUCAAGCUGCAAAUAUGAUUCCAGAGAGAUAUUCUCAACCAGGAGCAAAUCUGGGAUCAGACCAUGAUUCAUUUCUGCCAAAGGAUUACGUCUAUACACUACCAUCAAUAAACGGAGGACCGGAAGAUUUUCCCCAUGACAAUAAUUUUAUUGAGUGGGAUGAUUUGCCAUCCUUAUACGAAGGUAUGGACUAUUCUCCCGCAAAGUUCUCACAUACAGUUACUGAUGGUGGUAGAGGAGUAAACAGUGACGGAAACACCGAAGUAGUAGAUGGAUCGAUAUUAUUCUGCAUUAGCCAUUGGAGCAAUGCUCCAGUGUAGCUAAUGAAGAGAAAUUGAAAAUUGCUGAUUGAAGUUGAUUUUUUUUUUAAAUCAUUACAGAAGAGAACACAAAAAUACUCCCAGCUGCUAUCAUACAAUAAGAUCACAUAUGAUUGUUAAGAGAGAUGUCAGAUGUGCAGUUCAAUAUGUGGUUGUGCUUGGUCUUCUUGGCCUGCAAUGUAGCAACAAGCUUUGUCUAUUGUACUUGGGUGAGAGAGCAUGAGUUGUCCCUAAUUGUCUUGUGCUGGAGUGUUUUGUUCUCUUGUGCAGCCUUGUAAUCUUAUGCUUUUCUUCGUAUCAUCCCCCCGCAAGCUGAUGUGUGAUGUGAAGCAACCAGCUUGGAAGUUAGAUGACGAGAACUAUGCCUUGGAAGACUGUGUGAAGUAUGUUGGCUAAGUUUGGCAUAGAGUUUUGAACAAAGCAAAAAUGAGCAGAAAACAAAAACAUGGAACUGAGAGACUAAGCCAGGGUAAUAGCAAGAGAAGAGCAGGAUACAGAGUCCUGACAAGGAAGAGAGAGUUUGCAAGCAUGGGAAAAGGAAAAUGUAAAUAAAGGAAAUAGAGGAUGUCAGGAGAAAGAGGGAAUAUAGAUUUAAAAACACAGAAGAUGAGAAAGGAGAUGGACUUGAUUAUAUAGAAGAUGAGUAAUGUUUUUGUUCUUUUGGGGUGAUGAAGAAGUGACUGCCAUGGUAGGUAUGAGAAGAAAACCAUGAGUGAGCAGGAUGAAGAGAAGAAGAAAGAGAUGGAGAAACUUUUAAAAGAGAGGUAGAAGAAAAUGGAUAUAAGAUUACUGAACCAGAUGAUGAGGAAAACUCAUAACUAGGUGAAGAUCGAGGAAACAUAGGAGAAGCAAAUACGAAGUAGAAGAUAGAUGUCGUUGCAGAAGAGAGGCUAAUGAAGAAGAUAGAUAUGCAAUGACGCUGUGCAAUCGAAAAGUGAAACUAGAUCACUGUUGUUAUGCAGUGCGAGUUAGAAGAGAGAGCAUUAGGAGAAGAUCGUUCUCUGGAAUAUGGGGAGCGCUUGGAUCCAAAAAAGAAGAGCUUGAUCAGCAGGAAACAACAAACUGUUGCCAACGAGGGGUAUGAGAGGCUUUAGGAGAGAGAAUAAUAUGUUGAGAGGAGGCGGACCCCUUGGAGGGGAUUAGAGAGCUGUUAAGCAAGAGUCUAAAUGAAUACGAUUUUCUUUUGUAGAGAGAUGAAAAAGAGGUAGCUUGUAGGAGCAGAGGGAGUAAGAGAGCAAAUGAACAGAGAGAUCGGUUUGCUAUUCUCCAAACAACAACCUAAGCUUAAUUGGAAGGAAGCUAUGGAGGAGAAGGGAUGUCGGGAUACGGUGGGGAAUUGAAACAUGGUGCUUCUUUCUGCCAUGAUGGUGCUAGAAAAGAUAUCAAGGGAAAAGGGAAUUGAGACUGAAAAUUGAAGUGAAAAUUAAAGAUCUUAGCUUGAGGACAUAACAAGAAUGUGAAGAAAAAAGUAAACGGACUUGAAUUGAAAAUUGAACUAAGAAGAAGGAUUCAAAGUGCUAAAAUCGGUUUUACUCUAUACACCCAGGGAGAGUUUUGGAGUUCAUAGGAUCAAGAGCUGUUAGGCAGAUUGCUCUGAUACCAUGAAGAGAAAUUGAAAAUUGCUGAUUGAAGUUGAUUUUUUUUAAAUCAUUACAGAAGAGAACGCAUAAAUACUCCUAGCUGCUAUCAUACAAUAAGAUCACAUGUGAUUGUUAACAGAGAUGUUAGAUGUGCGGUUCAAUAUGUGGUUGUGCUCGGUCUUCUUGGUCUGGAAUGUAGCAACUAGCUUUGUCUAUUGUACUUGGGUGAGAGAGCACGAGUUGUCCCUAAUUGUCUUGUGCUGGAGUGUUUUGUUCUCUUGUGCAGCCUUUGUAAUCUUAUGCUUUUCUUCAAUCAAACUUUAUUUAUAGGAGAAUAUCAAAAGGACGCCUCAGUGAUAAUGCGUCUCUAACUCACAUUAUUACAGUCGGUGAUAUUCUCCUGCAAAUGAUUCAAUGAUCUCCAAGUUAUAUGAACCGCUCAGCUGUGUUGAUUGGCAUAGAAUCACAGCUAUUCCGCAUUUCUUGUACUGGUGGCUUUGGAAACUUCUUAAUCGUUUUGGCAUUCAAUUACAACUUAGGACAGCUGCAAUUAUUUUGUACCUGUUUUUCUUAUCUUUUUCUCUUGGCAGCGGGGGAGGCAUGGUGUCACAGAAUCCCUCAGUGAACUUUUGGUUGAAAGAGAGACCGGCGAAUGCAUAUGGUUCAAAUGCAUCUGGAAGUCUACCCUUCUCUGAAUGUGACGAGUCCAUAAAGAUGUCUUUUCUCAUAAGCAGUUCAUUGGAGGUGGAGCUUCCUCUGUCAGCAUUACUACCUAUAUUCAUAAUUCCUCAGAUCGUCUUGUCAUUAGAAUUACCAAUAUUCCGUCCUCUAAUCAAACAUCGUGUCAACCUAAGUAUUGAUAUUUGUUCCUCAUAUCCAGUCUUCAAAUGUCCUAAAAUCAAAGGACAUACCUAUCCACAUCCACUUCUUCUGAUCCCCAGUAGUGAAUCCUCAAGACCACCAAUAGUUGUUCCUCAAACAAUUAGCCUGCAAUUAGUCUGUCCUUAAGAUCAAAGGACAUAUUCAAAACAUCAAUAUCAUCCAAUAUCCAUCAUGGAGUCAAACAUGGGAGGUGCUCCUACAAGAUUCCGACUGCAGAGCAGCAUCACAAGCCAAGGUCAGUGAAGCUGCAGAGGCAUUAUAUUGCUGUUUACUGCCCCAGAAGAAACUGAAAGUCCUUGAAGCAGACAACAGUUUGAAGCUGGCAGCAAUUUAAAGGAUUCUUUCAUUUUCCAGGAUGCAACUCCUUUCAAUCCGUAAAGCAGACCAAAGUCAUAGUUCUAGCCUAAAAGACCACUAUGGGCAACGCAACUGUUGCAUAGUCAGUAAUCUGGAAGCAGAGUUUCAUAGGACCAGCUUCUACACGGUUGCGGGGGUCUCAAAGACAUAUAAGUAAUAAUCAGACAGCAGUAUUCUGUAUGGUUACAUUCAUUUCCAAGAUGUAUUAAUACAAUUACAGGUCAUAGAGAGGCCUUCAGAUUGAGUCUGAAACAUCCCAUGCCUACAACCAAAAAUUGUAUCGCUGUUCAUAUCACUCUUGUUUGUAUUACACUAUUACCCUAAUAUUCUUGUAGGUAUCGUUCAAUUUGAAGCUUUAAUGUUUAA